GCGUAGCAGGUUGUUGAUGAGGACGGAGCGACGGAGGUAAGCCUCUGGGUCGUCUAGGAAACGCAGCUUCUGCAGAGACAGACGCAGGAUGCAGCUGCGCUCCUCACAAAGGAUCAGGUGCUUAGGAGUGACAGACAGGCUUCCCUGAACAUCCUCCUCUUCCGCAUAUUUUCGCUUAAAGUAGGCGACUUUCGACGUUGUUGACUGCUGAGGGCACUCUUAAAGGAAAGAUCCUGCAGUCAAACACAAAGGAGUUAUGUAAAUUGUGUCAGGAUUCACUUUACACACUGAAUGAAAAAUGGUGCAACACUCACUCUUUUUAGAAAAAGUAUUAUUAGCUAAAAAUCAAUGACGUCGGCCACUAUCAAGGCCUUCAUCAGACAUCAAGAACAGCAAGGAACAAACACACUUUACACACACUCAGACACAGCAACAGGUGUUUGCUACUAAUUGUGCUGAUUGUAGGAGUGGCUUCUUCAUAGAAUUAAGAAAAAAUGCAAAUCAUCAAUAAAGCAUAGUGUAGUCAA